AGGAGUCACUCAGAGGGGCUUGACCUUCCUCUUAGUAAGCGCACCUGCUUCACCAAUCCUCUCUGUCUCUCUCUCUCUCCUUUUCUUUUACUCCCAUCAGAGGAUCAGAAAAGCUGCAACCAUGAGUUACAGGAGCAGUGGCAGCAUGAGCGGAGGCUUCAGCUCCGGCGGAGGAUUCAGCUCCGGUGGCGGUGGCGGCGGCACUGUGAGGAAGAGCUUCUCAAGCUUCUCCUCCUCAGCAGCCCCUAUGGGCUCCAGCCGUAUUAGCAGCUCAUCAGUUAGACGCUCCGGAGGCGGUGGUGGGGGCGGCUUCGUCAUGGGCGGUGGUGGAAGUGGAGGAGGCUCCAGCUUCAGCUAUAUGAGCAGUGGUGGAGGCAUGCGGCGGCGGCGGUGGAGGCUUUGGUAUGGGUGGCGGCGGUGGGGGCUUCGGCCUUGGUGGCGGCGGUGGAGGCUUUGGCCUGGGUGGCGGUGGUGGAGGCUUCGGUGGAGGUGCAGGCUUCGGCAUGGGUGGUUGCUUCCCCCCCAUCACAGCUGUCACAGUCAACUCAAGCCUGCUUGCCCCCCUCAACCUGGAGAUCGACCCCAACAUCCAGACCGUCCGCACCAAUGAAAAAGAUCAGAUCAAGGGCCUCAACAACCGCUUUGCCUCCUUCAUCGACAAGGUACGCUUCCUGGAACAGCAGAACAAGAUGCUGGAGACUAAGUGGAGCCUCCUGCAGGACCAGACCACCACCCGCUCCAACAUUGAUGCCAUGUUUGAGGCCUACAUUGCCAACCUGCGCAGACAGCUCGACGGCCUGGGAGGAGAGAAGGUCAAGAUGGAAGGAGAGCUGACAAACAUGCAGGGUCUGGUGGAGGACUUCAAGAACAAAUAUGAAGAUGAAAUCAACAAGCGUGCCGCAGUGGAGAACGAGUUUGUCCUCCUCAAGAAGGAUGUUGAUGGUGCCUACAUGAACAAGGUUGAGUUGGAGGCCAAGGUCGAUGCCCUUCAGGAUGAGAUCAACUUCCUCAGGGCCAUCUAUGAAGCGGAGCUGAGUGAGCUGCAGGGACAGAUUAAGGACACCUCAGUGGUGGUGGAGAUGGACAACAGCCGUAACCUGGACAUGGACUCCAUUGUGGCUGAAGUGCGCGCCCAGUAUGAGGACAUCGCCAACCGCAGCAGAGCCGAGGCCGAGUCAUGGUACAAGCAGAAGUUUGAGGAGAUGCAGUCCUCUGCAGGACAACAUGGGGAUGAUCUGCGCAACACCAAGUCAGAGAUUGCCGAGCUGAACCGCAUGAUCAGCCGUCUCCAAAACGAGAUCGAAAACGUCAAAGGACAGCGUUCUACCCUUGAAGGCCAGAUCGCAGAGGCUGAGGAGCGCGGGGAGAUGGCAGUGAAGGACGCCAAGCUCCGCAUCAGAGACCUAGAGGAUGCCCUACAGAGAGCCAAGCAGGACAUGGCCCGGCAAGUGCGUGAAUACCAGGAGCUGAUGAACGUCAAACUGGCCCUGGACAUUGAGAUCGCCACCUACAGGAAACUGCUGGAAGGAGAGGAGGACAGAAUUACCUCUGGAGGGGGAACGGCAACCAUCCACAUAACCUCCGGCAGCAGCGGUGGUGGCGGCGGAGGUGGUGGAUUCGGCAUGGGCGGAGGCGGCGGAGGAGGCGGAGGAGGCGGUGGCUUCGGAUAUGGCGGCGGCAGUGGCAUGUCCAUGAGAAGCGGUGGUGGCGGCAGUGGCUUUGGCAUGAGCGGCGGCGGUGGCGGCAGUGGCUAUGGCAUGAGCAGCGGUGGUGGUGGCGGCGUGUCCAUGUCCCGCUCCUCCAUGACCUCCACAUCAAGACGUUUCUAAACACAGGAGUCUGUAUGUCUGUCCCCACCUCCCCCUCUCCUCUCCCUCCACAACCAAAACAAGCUACAAACUCCUCCUGUCACAUGCAGGCACAGAGCGUCCACUGAUCUACACUAUAACUCAGGAUGGGCUGUUAAAUCUGACCCCUCCUUAGCUGCAUAUUCCCCAUAGUUACUGGCUGGUAGCGAAUAGUCGAUGAUAUCAGAGGAUGCACUUUGAAUGCUGACAGAUCUUUUUUAUCCCAAUGUUUCCAGUGUUUUUAGUCCUGCUACCUCUUCAGAAUCCUGUCCCUAACAGAUUCAGAUCAUAGCCCUUAAAGAUAGAGGCAGUGAUAGUAAGAACCGGAAGCAGAGAAUUACGUCUGCUCCCUCUUCAGUCAGCCUGUCUUUAACUUGCUGGAUGGUGCCUGUCAUGGUGACACAACAUUGGUUGGCGGUGCUGUGACAGUGCAUCUUCAUAAGGCAACACUAGUUUCUCAUCGCACACAACAUAGCGGCAGUCUCCAAAUGAGCCGGCAAGGCAGGUGCCAUGUUGUUCACUAGAUGUUGAGACAACUGACAGUACAACAUGCCCCUACCCCCUGUGUUCCACGGCCCUCAUAUUGCUGUGCAUUAUGGUGAAUGCCAGAUCAACUUAAGCAGCUAUACUAAAGUGGCACCCCCUUUCUCUGGGGUAAACAAUCUAGCGUUAACUCUUAAUUCUCCCUUUCCUAGGGACAAUGGGUUCUCCACUGAGGUUUGCAAACAGUGUUUGGUUCUGUUUUUCUUUUCAUUCUGAUCAAAAAGGGAUGACUGGUACACCCAGAUUUAUUGAAUGUAAUUGAUCAUGUGUCAUCAACUAAACAUCCUGAAUAAAUCUGAGUUUUAUAAAAUA